GAUGAACGCUGGCGGCGUGCUUAACACAUGCAAGUCGAACGGAAAGGCCCAAGCUUGCUUGGGUACUCGAGUGGCGAACGGGUGAGUAACACGUGGGUGAUCUGCCCUGCACUUCGGGAUAAGCCUGGGAAACUGGGUCUAAUACCGGAUAGGACCACAUUUUGGAUGGUGUGGUGGAAAGUUUUUCGGUGUGGGAUGAGCUCGCGGCCUAUCAGCUUGUUGGUGGGGUAAUGGCCUACCAAGGCGUCGACGGGUAGCCGGCCUGAGAGGGUGUACGGCCACAUUGGGACUGAGAUACGGCCCAGACUCCUACGGGAGGCAGCAGUGGGGAAUAUUGCACAAUGGGCGCAAGCCUGAUGCAGCGACGCCGCGGGGGGGAUGACGGCCUUCGGGUUGUAAACUCCUUUCGCUAGGGACGAAGCGUUAUGUGACGGUACCUGGAGAAGAAGCACCGGCUAACUACGUG
rnacentral:rRNA from 1 species